ACCUACGGGGCGCAGCAGUAGGGAAUCUUCCACAAUGGGCGAAAGCCUGAUGGAGCAACGCCGCGUGGGUGAAGAAGGUCUUCGGAUCGUAAAACCCUGUUGUUAGAGAAGAAAGUGCGUGAGAGUAACUGUUCACGUUUCGACGGUAUCUAACCAGAAAGCCACGGCUAACUACGUGCCAGCAGCCGCGGUAAUACGUAGGUGGCAAGCGUUAGCCGGAUUUAUUGGGCGUAAAGGGAUCGCAGGCGGUCUUUUAAGUCUGAUGUGAAAGCCUUCGGCUUAACCGGAGUAGUGCAUUGGAAACU
rnacentral:rRNA from 1 species